rnacentral:rRNA from 1 species
GAUGAACGCUGGCGGCGUGCCUAAUACAUGCAAGUCGAGCGAACGGACGAGAAGCUUGCUUCUCUGAUGUUAGCGGCGGACGGGUGAGUAACACGUGGAUAACCUACCUAUAAGACUGGGAUAACUUCGGGAAACCGUAGCUAAUACCGGAUAAUAUUUUGAACCGCAUGGUUCAAAAGUGAAAGACGGUCUUGCUGUCACUUAUAGAUGGAUCCGCGCUGCAUUAGCUAGUUGGUAAGGUAACGGUUUACCAAGGCAACGAUGCAUAGCCGACCUGAGAGGGUGAUCGGCCACACGGGAACUGAGACACGGUCCAGACUCUUACGGGAGGCAGCAGUAGGGAAUCUUCCGCAAUGGGCGAAAGCCUGACGGAGCAACGCCGCGUGAGUGAUGAAGGUCUUCGGAUCGUAAAACUCUGUUAUUAGGGAAGAACAUAUGUGUAAGUAACUGUGCACAUCUUGACGGUACCUAAUCAGAAAGCCACGGCUAACUACGUG